AAACCAGCACCUCAAGUGGUCAGGAGGAUUAUUGGGCCUAAAGCAUCCGUAGCCUGUUCUAUAAGUUUCCGGUUAAAUCCACUAGCUCAACUAGUGGGCUGCCGAAAAUACUGUAGAACUAGGGAGUGGGAGAGGUAGACGGUACUCGGUAGGAAGGGGUAAAAUCCUUUGAUCUAUUGAUGACCACCUGUGGCGAAGGCGGUCUACCAGAACACGUUCGACGGUGAGGGAUGAAAGCUGGGGGAGCAAACCGGAUUAGAUACCCUAGUAGUCC
rnacentral:rRNA from 1 species